CACGUAGGGCGCAAGCGUUGUCCGGAAUUAUUGGGCGUAAAGAGCUCGUAGGCGGUGUGUCGCGUCGGCCGUGAAAACCUGCAGCUUAACUGUGGGCUUGCGGUCGAUACGGGCAUCACUGGAGUUCGGCAGGGGAGACUGGAAUUCCUGGUGUAGCGGUGAAAUGCGCAGAUAUCAGGAGGAACACCGGUGGCGAAGGCGGGUCUCUGGGCCGAUACUGACGCUGAGGAGCGAAAGCGUGGGGAGCGAACAGG
rnacentral:rRNA from 1 species